CCUACGGGCGGCAGCAGUAGGGAAUAUUGCUCAAUGGGGGAAACCCUGAAGCAGCAACGCCGCGUGGAGGAUGAAGGUUUUCGGAUUGUAAACUCCUUUUUUUAGAGAAGUUAAUGACGGUAUCUAACGAAUAAGCACCGGCUAACUCCGUGCCAGCAGCCGCGGUAAUACGGAGGGUGCAAGCGUUACUCGGAAUCACUGGGCGUAAAGGGCGCGUAGGCGGGAUAGCAAGUCAGGUGUGAAAUCCUAUGGCUUAACCAUAGAACUGCAUUUGAAACUGGUAUUCUAGAGUAUGGGAGAGGUAGGUGGAAUUCUAGGUGUAGGGGUAAAAUCCGUAGAGAUCAAGAGGAAUACUCAUUGCGAAGGCGACCUGCUAGAACAUAACUGACGCUGAUGAGCGAAAGCGUGGGGAGCAAACAGGAUUAGAUACCCGGGUAGUC
rnacentral:rRNA from 1 species